rfam:Pyrenochaeta sp. DS3sAY3a unplaced genomic scaffold IQ07scaffold_36, whole genome shotgun sequence.
GACACGAUGGCCGAGUGGUCUAAGGCGGUAGAUUUAAGCCCUGCUCAGAUCUCUACUACAGAAAUGUGCGUGGGUUCGAACCCCACUCGUGUCA